CAAUAGCGUAUAUUAAAGUUGUUGCAGUUAAAAAGCUCGUAGUUGGAUUUCUGGGAGGGUGCCGCCGUCCGGCGUGUCCGUGUGCAGUGGCGCCCUUCCAUCCUUCUGUUAGCGUCUCUUGGCAUUCAUUUGCUGGUGGCGGGCUCAGAUAUUUUACCUUGAGAAAAUUAGAGUGUUUCAGGCAGGCUAGGCCGGAAUACAUUAGCAUGGAAUAAUGGAAUAGGACUACGGUCUCUUUGUUGGUUUGAGGGACUGCAGUAAUGAUUAAUAGGGAUAGUUGGGGGCAUUAGUAUUUAAUUGUCAGAGGUGGAAUUCUCAGAUUUGUUAAAGACUAACUUAUGCGAAAGCAUUUGCCAAGGAUGUUUNCAUUAA
rnacentral:rRNA from 1 species